rnacentral:rRNA from 1 species
UACGUAGGGAGCGAGCGUUGUCCGGAAUCAUUGGGCGUAAAGAGCAUGUAGGUGGAUCAAUUAGUCUGCUGUGAAAGUCAAAGGCUCAACCUUUGAAAGCCGGUGGAUACUGUUGAUCUAGAGUACGGAAGAGGCGAGUGGAAUUCCUGGUGUAGCGGUGGAAUGCGCAGAUAUCAGGAGGAACACCAAUAGCGAAGGCAGCUCGCUGGGACGUUACUGACACUGAGAUGCGAAAGCGUGGGGAGCAAACAGG